UGGGGAAUAUUGGACAAUGGGCGAAAGCCUGAUCCAGCCAUGCCGCGUGUGUGAAGAAGGUCUUCGGAUUGUAAAGCACUUUAAGUUGGGAGGAAGGGUUGUAGAUUAAUAUUCUGCAAUUUUGACGUUACCGACAGAAUAAGCACCGGCUAACUCUGUGCCAGCAGCCGCGGUAAUACAGAGGGUGCAAGCGUUAAUCGGAAUUACUGGGCGUAAAGCGCGCGUAGGUGGUUUGUUAAGUUGGAUGUGAAAUCCCCGGGCUCAACCUUGGAACUGCAUUCAAAACUGACUGACUAGAGUAUGGUAGAGGGUGGUGGAAUUUCCUGUGUAGCGGUGAAAUGCGUAGAUAUAGGAAGGAACACCAGUGGCGAAGGCGACCACCUGGACUAAUACUGACACUGAGGUGCGAAAGCGUGGGGAGCAAACA
rnacentral:rRNA from 1 species